UUUGUGGAGAGUUUGAUCCUGGCUCAGGACGAACGCUGGCGGCGUGCUUAACACAUGCAAGUCGAACGGAAAGGCCUCUUGCUUGCAAGGGGUACUCGAGUGGCGAACGGGUGAGUAACACGUGGGUGAUCUGCCUUGCACUCUGGGAUAAGCUUGGGAAACUGGGUCUAAUACCGGAUAUGAACUGCCUUUAGUGUGGUGGUUGGAAAGUUUUUUCGGUG
rnacentral:rRNA from 1 species